rnacentral:rRNA from 1 species
AUACGGAGGGUGCGAGCGUUAAUCGGAAUUACUGGGCGUAAAGGGCGCGUAGGUGGUUUGGUAAGUCAGAUGUGAAAUCCCUGGGCUUAACCUGGGAAUUGCAUUUGAUACUGCCAGACUAGAGUGUGAUAGAGGUAAGCGGAAUUCCCGGUGUAGCGGUGAAAUGCGUAGAUAUCGGGAAGAACAUCAGUGGCGAAGGCGGCUUACUGGAUCAACACUGACACUGAGGCGCGAAAGCGUGGGUAGCAAACAGGAUUAGAUACCCCAGUAGUCC